UGGGGAAUUUUGGACAAUGGGGGCAACCCUGAUCCAGCCAUGCCGCGUGAGUGAAGAAGGCCUUCGGGUUGUAAAGCUCUUUCGGUGGGGAAGAAAUGGCAACGGCUAAUAUCCGUUGUUGAUGACGGUACCCGCAUAAGAAGCACCGGCUAACUACGUGCCAGCAGCCGCGGUAAUACGUAGGGUGCGAGCGUUAAUCGGAAUUACUGGGCGUAAAGCGUGCGCAGGCGGUUUCGUAAGACAGAGGUGAAAUCCCCGGGCUCAACCUGGGAAUGGCCUUUGUGACUGCGAGGCUAGAGUGUGACAGAGGGGGGUAGAAUUCCACGUGUAGCAGUGAAAUGCGUAGAGAUGUGGAGGAAUACCGAUGGCGAAGGCAGCCCCCUGGGUUACUACUGACGCUCAUGCACGAAAGCGUGGGGAGCAAACAGG
rnacentral:rRNA from 1 species